CCAGCAACUUGGAGGAAUGUAUAGCGAUAGCUAAUUUGCAAGAUCGAUUGAAUAAAAUUCUGGGUAGAAUUAUGAUUAUGACAUUGUCUAUCCAUGUGUCUUGACCAAAUUACGUGCCAGCAGUCGCGGUAAUACGUAGAAGACUAGUGUUAUUCAUCUUUAAUAGGUUUAAAGGGUACCUAGACGGUAAAUCAAGCCACUAAUUUGCUAGAGUUACUUAUGAGGGGGUUUUAAAGUACUAAUGGUGUAGAGAUGAAAUUUUAUAAUACCAUUUUCUAAUGGCACAGGUAUAGGCGAAAGCAUCCCCUUAUGUGAUAACUGACGUUGAAGGACGAAGGCUUUGAGUCGCGAACAGGAUUAGAUACCCUGGUAGUCAAAGCAGAAAAUAAUGAGUGUCAUAGAUUAGAUAUUAAAGUUUAUUCUAUAAAUGAAAGUGUAAGCACUCCACCUCAAGAGUAAUUUGGCAACAUUGGAACUGAAAUCAUUAGACCGUUUCUGAAACCAGUAGUGAAGUAUGUUGUUUAAUUUGAUAAUCCGCAAAAAACCUUACCACAAUUUGAAUAUUUAUAUAAGCGCUGCACGGCUGUCUUCAGUUAAUGUCGUGAGAUUUUGGUUAGAUCCAUUAAAUUAACGCAAGCCCUUACUUUAUUUUUAAAUAAAGUCGUUCCCCACUAGAUUGGAUAAGAUAACAGGGAUUAAGACAAGUCAUCAUGGCCUGAAUAUUGUGGGCUAUAGACGUGCCACAUAAACCUUUACAAAAGGAUGUAAAAUUGUGAAAUUGAGCUAAU
rnacentral:rRNA from 1 species